rnacentral:lncRNA from 1 species
GUUUUAGAAAUUUAAAUGUGACGUCACUUUGGGCGUUGCAUUGACUAUGGCUAACAGGGCUGUGAUUUUGUAAUGUAUUCGUUUUUAUUCUAUAGCUAGUCACCACUUCAGUUUAAUCAAGUAUAUCUAUUAUAUAGUCAUUUUAUAAAAUUUACUGUUUGCAAAACUAUGUAUUAUUCUUGAUAAUAAUGAUGUUUUUGUCCCAGGCGGAUAACACUGGCCUCACAACUU